GCAUCGACAGCUCAGUGGCAGAGCGGUGGAGCGUUGACCAAUGCGGCCCGGAUUCGAAUUCCAGUCGAUGCA